UGUUUAUGUUGAGAUACACCAAGUGAGAAGACUGGUCUUUGACAAUUACCAAUAGUGUCCAUUGUCUUUAAAUGCGUUUGUAAUGAGUAAUGCGGUUUUGAGCCUCAAUUACAGUUAAAACAGUCGCAAUGCAAGAAUACUUUUAAAAAGUGAUUAAUUACUUUCCUCUCACAUUUAGCUAGAUGUAGAGACAGACUUGUUUGAGGAUCUUGUUAAUAGACGAACUCAACAUGACACUCAUCUCAUAGAGGGUGACCCGGUGUUGAUUAAAAGUGAUGGUUUUCCAACGUACCAUUUUGCCAAUGUUGUUGAUGAUCAUCUGAUGAGGAUUAGCCACGUACUGCGGGGCAUGGUGAGUUUAUCUAAUCUGUGCCCAAUUUCAUAAAUCUCUUAAGCAUGAAAGUAAUCCUUGUCAAAAUAACUUUCUGAGUAAAGAAAAAAGAAGUUUUUGCGUUUAAUUUCCGCUAAACUAACUGAUACUAUUGCACUGUUUUUUUUGUUUUUUUGAUGAAUGAUGUUACUCUCCUAACUAGCUUUAUGAUAUUAAGACCAUUAAUGCAUUUUACAAAGCUUU